AAUCUAGCAGCUUAUAUGUUUCUGCAGAAAUUCAGAAGCAGCUAGCAAUAGAGAUGCCAUUUUAUGAGCCUUAAGGACAACUGAGGUCGUCACAAUCCCUCAAAAUUGCUACGGUG
rnacentral:snoRNA from 1 species